UUUUCUUCCCCUUUUUCUCCUAGGAAUGAAGAAAACUUCGUAGUGAUGUGAACUGAACCAAGGGUCUCACGCAUGCUAGACUCACAGUGUGUGAACUCAUAGAAUUUUAAGAAUUUAAGAAUGCCUCCCCCUCUGAUGUGCAGUUCAAAGAACAAAAUUUAAAAUCAUUAAGUCACUCAAUUUCUCAAAGAAGAAAGAAGAAAAUGUAUAAUCUCCAGUUUGUCUUUUGCAUAUGUUGAGUUUAACAUCAAGUGCCAUAAAUCAACCUCCAAGUUAGAAGAGAAGAUUUUAGAGUCAGAUAUUGGAUUUUAAUCUUCAUCACUUACUAGCUCUUCAAUCUCGAGGGAUACCUUGGAUUCUUUAUAUUCAAACUGCCAUCCUUUGUGGUAAAAGUGAGAACUGAGAACGGAAACUUAAAAAUUAUAAGGAUGCCGUAGGACAUCUUGUUGAACGGAAACCAAUUUUCCUGGCAAGAUAGCUCCUCUGCCACCCUGAUGUCAACAGAGAAACCCUUGUAUGCUGUUGUGGGAACCCAGACUCCUGCUUCCAG